rnacentral:rRNA from 1 species
AUUGAACGCUGGCGGCAGGCCUAACACAUGCAAGUCGAGCGGAUGAAGGGAGCUUGCUCCUGGAUUCAGCGGCGGACGGGUGAGUAAUGCCUAGGAAUCUGCCUGGUAGUGGGGGAUAACGUCCGGAAACGGGCGCUAAUACCGCAUACGUCCUGAGGGUGAAAGUGGGGGAUCUUCGGACCUCACGCUAUCAGAUGAGCCUAGGUCGGAUUAGCUAGUUGGUGGGGUAAAGGCCUACCAAGGCGACGAUCCGUAACUGGUCUGAGAGGAUGAUCAGUCACACUGGAACUGAGACACGGUCCAGACUCCUACGGGAGGCAGCAGUGGGGAAUAUUGGACAAUGGGCGAAAGCCUGAUCCAGCCAGGCCGCGUGUGUGAAGAAGGUCUUCGGAUUGUAAAGCACUUUAAGUUGGGAGGAAGGGCAGUAAGUUAAUACCUUGCUGUAUUGACGUUACCAACAGAAUAAGCACCGGCUAACUACGUG